UCCUUCCAGCUGGACAUGCCUGGAAAAUCUCCAUAGGAAGUUACCCAAGAGGCAUCCUAAUCAGAUGCCCAAACCAUUUAAAUUAACUUCUCUAGGUGACUCUACUCGAGCUUCCUUCAGAUGCUCAAGCCCCUCACCCUAUUUCUAAGACUGGGCACAGCCACCUUACUUUCAAUCACUACCCAGAGUUCAUGACUAGGUGAGGGCUGGAACAAAGAUCGACUGGUAAAUCUUCACCCCAACUGCUACAACAGCUGCAUUCCUGCUGAUGCUGCACAAAGCCACUUGUCCAUUUCGCGCUUGAUUUUCCUCUCACUGGUGAACAAGAUCCUGAGAUACUUAAACUUCUUUGCUUGGGGCAGCAUACUGGCUGCUUCACACUGGACUGCAAGUCACCCCCUCCAUGCUGAAGGUCCUGGUCUGAUGAGCCAACCGAACCAUGGAUGGCAUCCACAAGCAGAGACUUGAUUCUGAGAUUCCCAAACCGGACACCCUCCAGGCAGAGUUCAACAAUCACCAGGGAUGUGUUUGACUUUGUGCCAAGGAUGCAACCUAGCUCUCAAUUUAGCAACACAAGGACCAGAUGGCUUCAAUCAAUUGGUCCAAUGUACCAAUACUUCUGCAGUAUAGGACCAGCCAGGGGGCAUGGUCAUAAGCCCACAAAACGCAGGUGGUCAAAUUCCCAUGACCACAGCAGCAGCUCUGCAGGUGUAAAGAGCUAGUCCACUGUUGCACAGUCAGGAUUAAAUCCCCAUUGGUCCUGGUGAAUUCCAAAGUGAUUGUACUAUAUGUUUUACAGAAGCUGUGCUUUAUCAUGAACAAAAGAGCUCACACAUGAUUUAGAGCUGAGAGUUAUCAUUUAGACUGAAAGGAACCCCCUUCAGUCUAAAUGAUAAUCAAGAAGGUAAUAAUGAGGCUUUAAAAAAGCUUCUUGUAGGGCCCCCAAAUAGCUCAAGGGUUUAAGCGGGCGGCCCAUGUACAGGGGCUUCCCCGAUGCAGUGGCCUGGGUUCCAUUUCUACCUGCUGCUCUUUGCUGCAUGUCUUCCCCCCACUCUUCUCCCUCCUUUCCUGUCCAUCUUCACUGCACCUAUCAAAUAAAGCCAGAAAAAUAACUUACAAAAAAAGCCUCUUGUAAGUGAAAAAAAAUGCUAUCUUGACUAAUGAGACACAAAUCAGUAAUUUUGAUAGAGGUUGCAUUUUUUUGUCCAGAAGAAAAAAGUAACCGCUCAUGAGCCAAAGCAUCAGCUUUAGAGACGGCUUCUGUUGUUCUAGCAUGCAUGGCUGUCAGUUGAACUGACACUGACAUUUGUAUGAUAUUACAAAUGCCAGUGAUAAUAUCUAUAGGUCCAAGACUUCAUUCACUGUUUAGGAUUUUCCCCUGAAUGGUAAAUAUGAUGACUUAGUUUGAGUUUAUAUGUACUUGUCAGUUAGUUUUGAACCCUGAAACCUUGGCCACUGUCUUAAAGGGCUGUAUCUUCUACACAGGUCUCUCUAUACUGAUGGAAGGAGAGUUCACAUGCUGUUCAAGGACCAGUUAACCUCAGCAUGUUUUUGGACUGUGGGAGGAAGCCAGAGGACCUGGUAAAAACCCUUGUGUGCACAGGGACUCCACACAGAAAGAUCCCACCUCCAGGCUGGGAUGCGAACCGGUGAUCUUCUAGCUGUGAGGCAACAGUGAUGACCACAGUAAACCACUCCAAAACUAAAAUAUCAGUAUCUUCUGCUACACAAAUUUCAGGCAAAUCAGAGAUGGUUGAGCAAAAAUUGUUCCCAAAAUUUGAUGAUUUGAGAUGGAAUGAGCCUCUGCUGUUUAUGCUCUUAACUUGCAAACUUUAAUUUUAGCAUUAACUUACCAGUUAAGUUAGUCUACGGUACCCCAAAUCCCUCAGAAUAUAGGUUAGUACAGUAUACUAUUGAGCAACUAACUGUGUGGUUUGAAACAGAGAUGUGUGCUCACAUCUGUUCCUUUUAUGAUGCAUUUCCUUGAUACCACAUGCCCACCCCACAAGUGACUACUGUGCAUAUAAUGUUUGCCAAAACUGUCCCCAGCACCCCAAGAUAGUAGCACCCACUUCUGCAAUAUUUUGGCAUCAUUUUUGUCAAGUGAAAGAAAGUGUUGCCGCAUCAUCCAUCAUUAUAUACAGUCUUUGGAUUAAUAAGUUAGAGUCUAGUCCUUUCGGUCUUUGUAGCCAUUUGCAAAUUGAGCAACCUGUUCUCCAAACCUUACUGGUACAAAUCUCAGCAUUGAUAUGCAACUGAAUCCUUAAAACAAAUAUACAGAAGUGGGUCAUCAAAGAUGUUGCCACCUCAGAUCCAUUGGUGGUGUCAUUCUAAAUAAUGCAGAAAAUGUGGGUCAGCAUGCAAAGAAGGGUCAUAUUGGCAAGAUGUGAAUUUUUUUUUCAAAGUGGAAAAAAUUUUAUGAGCCAAAUGUAACUGACCAUUUCACAGCAAAAAUUGCUGCAGUUGGGUAAGAUGUUAUGUCAUAGUUGCAUGCUAUUUUGUAAAUUCAAAAAAGACAGCAGUCAAGCAAAUUUCACUCUUCAGUCCUCCUCCAUUCUGACAGCCAGUCAGACCUAGGGCUCAGUAGCUGCUUUGUGAAAUCAAUACUAUAAGUAUCAUUGUACUGCCAGCAGAAACUUGGCAGAUGACACAUUUACGGAGGUUAGCUCUGUGGAACAUGAAUAAACUGAAACUUGUAUGAAUGCAUUUCAAUAGAUUAUAUGGUUUGCUGACUGUCCCAUAAAAUAGACCCUACCUGUUUUAAAUGUGAUUGUUAGAGACAUUCACCCCUGCCUGCUUUGCAUUAAGACAAAGCAAAACUGUUUCUGUGAAGUUGUACCUAAACUAGUAUUUGUACAUACUCCAGCUGGAUGCUUAAGCAUUCAUUGUGACUUCUCUGUAAAGUUUCACACAGUUUGACAGAACCAAGGAACAAAGCUUGCUCUAACAGUAACUGGUACACAGGUAAUCAGCAUUCUAGUGUGUAUUUAUCAGUCAUCUGUAUAGUAAUAUGACAGGUCAG
ensembl:lncRNA